rnacentral:tRNA from 1 species
AGCUAAUUAAUUUUAAAUAAUUCAUAUGACUUGAAAUCAUGUUGUAGAUAGUUCUUCAUCUAUUAGCUU